GUCUAUGGCCAUACCACCCUGAACGCGCCCAAUCUCGUCUGAUCUCAGAAGCUAAGCAGGGUCGGGCUUGGUUAGUACUUGGAUGGGAGGGGUCUCGCUCUUGCUCAAGCUGGUCUCAAACU
ensembl:rRNA 5S_rRNA 5S ribosomal RNA